AUGCAUGGUCACUUUGAGAAACUCUAUGAAGACCGGGCUACAUGGGUGCCGUGUUACUUGAAAUUCAGGUUCUUCCCUUUCCUUCAGUCAACGCAACGCAGCGAAGGGUUCAAUGUUGUGUUGAAGCGCUAUGUGAACCCACACAAGUCAAUUCUUAACUUCGUCAAGCAAUAUGAGAAGAUUCAGACAUACUCAUACGUUGGAGACGUAUCAGGAGGGCGGGAACAACUACCGGACAGAGCAUCUAGAAGCACAAAGAUGGUCGCGUUUCCCCAUUGA
rnacentral:rRNA from 1 species